rnacentral:misc_RNA from 1 species
GAUGAAGAACGUGGCGAAAUGCGAUAAGUAGUGUGAAUUGCAGAAUUCAGUGAAUCAUCGAAUCUUUGAACGCACAUUGCGCCCUUUGGUAUUCCAAAGGGCAUGCCUGUUCGAGCGUCAUUUGUACCCUCAAGCUUUGCUUGGUGUUGGGCGUCUUGUCUCUAGCUUUGCUGGAGACUCGCCUUAAAGUAAUUGGCAGCCGGCCUACUGGUUUCGGAGCGCAGCACAAGUCGCACUCUCUAUCAGCAAAGGUCUAGCACCCAUUAAGCCUUUUUUUCAACUUUUGACCUCGGAUCAGGUAGGGAUACCCGCUGAACUUAAGCAUAUCAAUAAGCGGAGGA